GCUGGCGGCACGCCUAACACAUGCAAGUCGAACGAAGUAGCAAUACUUAGUGGCAGACGGGUGAGUAACAUGUAGGUAUCUUCCCUUUGGCCUGGAAUAACACGAGGAAACUUGUGCUAAUACCGGAUAAGUCUUUACGGAGAAAGCUUUAUGCACCAUUGGAUGAGCCUGCACUUGAUUAGUUUGUUGGUGGGGUAAAAGCCUACCAAGACUGUGAUCAAUAGCUGAUUUGAGAGGAUGAUCAGCCACAUUGGGACUGAGACACGGCCCAAACUCCUACGGGAGGCAGCAGUGGGGAAUCUUGCACAAUGGAGGAAACUCUGAUGCAGCGAUGCCGCGUGAGUGAAGAAGGCCCUUGGGUUGUAAAGCUCUUUCGUCGGGGAAGAAAAUGACUGUACCCGAAUAAGAAGGUCCGGCUAACUUCGUGCCAGCAGCCGCGGUAAUACGAAGGGACCUAGCGUAGUUCGGAAUUACUGGGCUUAAAGAGUUCGUAGGUGGUUGAAAAAGUUGGUGGUGAAAUCCCAGAGCUUAACUCUGGAACUGCCAUCAAAACUUUUCAGCUAGAGUUUGAUAGAGGAAAGCAGAAUUUCUAGUGUAGAGGUGAAAUUCGUAGAUAUUAGAAAGAAUACCAAUUGCGAAGGCAGCUUUCUGGAUCAUUACUGACACUGAGGAACGAAAGCAUGGGUAGCGAAGAGGAUUAGAUACCCUCGUAGUCCAUGCCGUAAACGAUGUGUGUUAGACGUUGGAAAUUUAUUUUCAGUGUCGCAGCGAAAGCGAUAAACACACCGCCUGGG
rnacentral:rRNA from 1 species